rnacentral:lncRNA from 1 species
AACGAGCGUAAGAUGAGGAAAGAAGCAAUGAAGCAUGAGCGGGCACGGUUGGAGCAAGAAAAUUCAAAACAAUUGGAAUUACACAAGAAAAAGAAGGAAGAGGAAAAGAAGAAAAAGGAGGCUGAUGCAAUAACAAGGAAAAGGCUGAGGGAAGAAGAAGAGAAAAAUGACAAGGAAAAGAAAAGAAAGCGAGUAGAAGAAGCACG